rnacentral:tRNA from 15 species
GCAGCGGUGGUGAAAUGGUAUACACGACAGACUUAAAAUCUGUUGCACAUUAGUGCGUGAGGGUUCGAGUCCCUCCCGCUGUA